rnacentral:rRNA from 1 species
GAUGAACGCUGGCGGCGUGCCUAAUACAUGCAAGUCGAGCGAACGGACGAGAAGCUUGCUUCUCUGAUGUUAGCGGCGGACGGGUGAGUAACACGUGGAUAACCUACCUAUAAGACUGGGAUAACUUCGGGAAACCGUAGCUAAUACCGGAUAAUAUUUUGAACCGCAUGGUUCAAAAGUGAAAGACGGUCUUGCUGUCACUUAUAGAUGGAUCCGCGCUGCAUUAGCUAGUUGGUAAGGUAACGGCUUACCAAGGCAACGAUGCAUAGCCGACCUGAGAGGGUGAUCGGCCACACUGGAACUGAGACACGGUCCAGACUCCUACGGGAGGCAGCAGUAGGGAAUCUUCCGCAAUGGGCGAAAGCCUGACGGAGCAACGCCGCGUGAGUGAUGAAGGUCUUCGGAUCGUAAAACCCUGUUGUUAGGGAAGAACAUAUGUGUAAGUAACUGUGCACAUCUUGACGGUACCUAAUCAGAAAGCCACGGCUAACUACGUG